rnacentral:lncRNA from 1 species
CCUAUUCAUCCUUCAAAACCCAGCUCAGGUGUCAACAACUGCAGGAAAAUUUUCCUAACCAUACUUUGUCUCCUGAAAUGUGUAAGGUUUCCCUCCCCUACGUCCCCAUUUCACUCCACAAGACUUCUGUCAUGGCCUGAUCUCUCUAUCUGAUGACUAAGGAUUCCUCACGUCACCUAAACUCUUGCAUCACUUCUCUACUGUGUAUUUGGGAGUAAUUUCUGUUCCAGAGUUGAUUCACACUCAGCUGCUUCUUUGUGGUCACUAUCUUCUAAGCUGCUUUCUGCUUCACUUCUUGGAAGUGAUCUCUUUUCUCCCUUAAUACCCUGUCAUCACCAGCAUGUGCAUCUCAAAGCAUAAAGAGUGAGUGUUUCACAGACUUGUGUUGACUGUUGCGGAAGCACUGGUGACCAUUGGAGCAGCAUCUCCCAGGAUUGAGGAAACCGUCAUUUGAAGAGAGGGCUCCUAUGCCUGGAACACAAUACGUGUCUCAGAAGGCCACUCACUGCAUGAAUGGAAAGGAGGCUAGAUGGAAGAAUUUACUGUAUAUAGUAAUGAAUAUAAAACACAUGAAAAUUGAGUGCGAUUUCUGAGAAAUACCUUAAUUAAAGUGAUUAAGCAGCAGCUCCGGACUGAAGAUGAGAUUCUGUAACAGUCUCCCUGCUUCUGCUGAGCAUCAGAUGGUCCAGAAUGUUUCACAGACCCUUAACUGGUCUCCAAGCUUCUAAUUCUUCAGGCGCCGCCCCCUCCGCCCCCUGCCACAAACCCCAGCCUCAGGAGUGAUUUUCCUAUUAAAAAAAAAAAUGAUCAGAUUUUGUGAGCCUUCUAUUUAAAAUGUCAGUUGGUUCCUUGUCAACAAUGAGGGAUUGUUAACACUCCUUUUGAUGCUGCUCAAAUUCCUUCAUGAUCUUUUAUUUUUAAAAAAGAAGGAAAAAAAAAAAGACUUUUGACCUUUCAGUUUAAUGUUGUGUUUUUUUUUUUAAGUCUUUUUUGAAUUUGUUAUUAAUACAGUAUUGCUUUUCUUUUAUGUUUUGGUUUUCUGGCAGUGAAGCAUGUGAGAUCUUAGCUCCACUGCCAGGAAUCAAACUUACAACCCCUUCAUUGGAAGGCUAAGUCUUAACUAUUGGGCCACCAGGAAAGCCCCUACUUGAUCUCUUUAGACCCAGUGAAACACUCCUCCCUUCCUCCCCAUCCAUCGUCCUGGAACAUGGACGGUGCAUCUUUUCAUUUAUUUAUUUUCACAUGGGUGCUGCCAUUCCUUUUUUUGGAAUGCUUC